UACGUAGGGGGCAAGCGUUGUCCGGAUUUAUUGGGCGUAAAGCGCACGCAGGCGGUCUUUUAAGUUUCGCGUGACAGGUUAGGGCUUAACCCUAGCAGGACGCGGAAAACUGGAAGACUUGAGGACGAGAGAGGGACGCGGAAUUCCAGGUGGAGCGGUGAAAUGCGUAGAGAUCUGGAAGAACACCAAAGGCGAAGGCAGCGUCCUGGCUCGUAUCUGACGCUCAUGUGCGAAAGCUAGGGGAGCGAACGGG
rnacentral:rRNA from 1 species